AGAAUUUGAUCUUGGUUCAGAUUGAAUGCUGACAGCGUGGAUGAGGCAUGCAAGUCGAACGAAGUAUGUAGUUUGCUAUAUACUUAGUGGCGAAAGGGUUAGUAAUACAUGGGUAAUCUACCUUUAACUCAGGAAUAACGGUUGGAAACGACCGCUAAUACCGGAUGAGGUGUGGGAUGGCAUCAUCCUAACAUCAAAGUAGGGGACCUUCGGGCCUCGCAGUUAAUGAGGAACCCAUGGGAUAUCAGCUAGUUGGAGAGGUAACGGCUCACCAAGGCUAAGACGUCUAGGCGGAUUGAGAGAUUGACCGCCAACACUGGGACUGAGAUACUGCCCAGACUCCUACGGGAGGCUGCAGUCGAGAAUCAUUCGCAAUGGGCGAAAGCCUGACGAUGCGACGCUGUGUGUAUGAUGAAGGCCUUCGGGUUGUAAAGUACUUUCGCCUAAGAGCAAGAGAAGGUUGGAAAUACCAAUCUAAUUUGAGAGUAUUAGGUAAAGAAGCACCGGCUAACUCCGUGCCAGCAGCUGCGGUAAUACGGAGGGUGCAAGCAUUAAUCGGAUUCAUUGGGCGUAAAGAGUGCGUAGGCGGGAUGGCCAGUCAGACGUGAAAGCCCGGAGCUCAACUCCGGAAUAGCAUCUGAAACUACCAUUCUUGAGGAUAGAUGGAGAAAACGGAAUUCCACGUGUAGCGGUGAAAUGCGUAGAUAUGUGGAAGAACACCAGUGGCGUAAGCGGUUUUCUAAUUUACUCCUGACGCUGAGGUACGAAAGCUAGGGGAUCAAACAGGAUUAGAUACCCUGGUAGUCCUAGCUGUAAACGAUGCAUACUUGAUGUAGGAAGAAUCAACCCUUCCUGUGUCGAAGCUAACGCGUUAAGUAUGCCGCCUGGGGAGUACACUCGCAAGGGUGAAACUCAAAAGAAUUGACGGGGGCCCGCACAAGCAGUGGAGCAUGUGGUUUAAUUCGAUGCAACGCGAAGAACCUUACCCAGACUUGACAUGUAGAUGACAGGUGCAGAAAUGUACCCUCCUUCGGGCAUCUACACAGGUGCUGCAUGGCAGUCGUCAGCUCGUGCCGUGAGGUGUUGGGUUAAGUCCCGCAACGGGCGCAACCCUUAUCAUUAGUUGCCAACAGUUUUGGCUGGGAACUCUAAUGAGACUGCCUAGGUUAACUAGGAGGAAGGUGAGGAUGACGUCAAGUCAGCAUGGCCCUUACGUCUGGGGCUACACACGUGCUACAAUGGUCGGUACAAUAGGCAGCGAAGCCGCGAGGUGGAGCAAAUCCAAAAAGCCGAUCUCAGUUCGGAUUGUAGUCUGCAACUCGACUACAUGAAGCUGGAAUUGCUAGUAA
rnacentral:rRNA from 1 species